rnacentral:rRNA from 1 species
GACGAACGCUGGCGGCGUGCCUAAUACAUGCAAGUAGAACGCUGAAGGAGGAGCUUGCUUCUCUGGAUGAGUUGCGAACGGGUGAGUAACGCGUAGGUAACCUGCCUGGUAGCGGGGGAUAACUAUUGGAAGCGAUAGCUAAUACCGCAUAAGAGUAGAUGUUGCAUGACAUUUGCUUAAAAGGUGCAAUUGCAUCACUACCAGAUGGACCUGCGUUGUAUUAGCUAGUUGGUGGGGUAACGGCUCACCAAGGCGACGAUACAUAGCCGACCUGAGAGGGUGAUCGGCCACACUGGGACUGAGACACGGCCCAGACUCCUACGGGAGGCAGCAGUAGGGAAUCUUCGGCAAUGGACGGAAGUCUGACCGAGCAACGCCGCGUGAGUGAAGAAGGUUUUCGGAUCGUAAAGCUCUGUUGUAAGAGAAGAACGAGUGUGAGAGUGGAAAGUUCACACUGUGACGGUAUCUUACCAGAAAGGGACGGCUAACUACGUG